rnacentral:rRNA from 1 species
GACGAACGCUGGCGGCGUGCCUAACACAUGCAAGUCGAACGGGGUAAAGACUUCGGUUUUUACUUAGUGGCGAACGGGUGAGUAACGCGUGAGAAACCUGCCUUUCAGUGGGGGACAACAGUUGGAAACGACUGCUAAUACCGCAUAAUGUUAUUUGGGGGCAUCCUUGAAUAACCAAAGAUUUAUUGCUGAAAGAUGGUCUCGCGUCUGAUUAGCUAGUUGGUAAGGUAACGGCUUACCAAGGCAACGAUCAGUAGCCGACCUGAGAGGGUGACCGGCCACAUUGGGACUGAGACACGGCCCAAACUCCUACGGGAGGCAGCAGUGGGGGAAUAUUGGGCAAUGGGGGAAACCCUGACCCAGCAACGCCGCGUGAAGGAAGAAGGCCU